rnacentral:rRNA from 1 species
CAAUAGCGUAUAUUAAAGUUGUUGCAGUUAAAAAGCUCGUAGUUGGAUUUCUGGUGGGAGCGAUCGGUCUGGCGCUUAGCGCGAGUACUUGCAUCGUCUCCGGCCAUCCUUGGGGAGAGUCUGUCUGGCAUUAGGUUGUCGGGCAGAGGAUCCUCAUCGUUUACUGUGAAAAAAUUAGAGUGUUCAGAGCAGGCUUAUGCCGUUGAAUAUAUUAGCAUGGAAUAAUAAGAUAGGACUUUGGUACUAUUUUGUUGGUUUGCGCGCCAAAGUAAUGAUUAAUAGGGACAGUUGGGGGUAUUCGUAUUCCGUUGUCAGAGGUGAAAUUCUUGGAUUUACGGAAGACGAACUACUGCGAAAGCAUUUACCAAGGAUGUUUUCAUUAA